CUCCAGCUUUUCUUAGUGUCAUCUAAAAGCUUUCUCUUUCUAUUCCAAGGAUUCAGGAAUACAAAAGAACCAUGGGAUAUGGUCAGAGAUGAUUGUCCCAGCUGGGAUUCAGAAUGAGGACAGCCCUGCCCCCAACCCUGACAGUCCCAUAGCCACCAUCCAAACCUUCCCUGGAGGGCCCAGACACACAGCACUCAGAGCUGUGUGAUGUGUCUCCUUUAAGCCCCAGUUCCUCCAGACCAAUGGUGGGCACUUCCAGCACGCACAUGUGUGCACCCCUAAAUGUCAGGGCAGCACAACAACACACCGAUGACCUUAAGGCUUGAGGGCAGCCAGGUGAAAGAGGACAUGGAGCAGCCCUGGAUGUGACCAGCCAAACUCAUCCCCAUCCCUGGAUACAGUAGGUUCAAUGCUGUGUCCCACAAUACUCCGAGUAGGUGGUACAGGAGCCGUGCAGGAAACUGGUAGCCAAUAAAGUCAUUACCUAAACCUGACCUCCACCAUCAAACUGCCCUUCAUGGUCUUACAUGGAAUGAAUCGUAGGUGACCAGACUAUGGGUAACAGGGUACCCAUUUGUACCCCAGGCUUACUGGGAAAUCUACUUCUGCUAUGGAAAGCUGGCCACAUAUAAUCAGAGACAGACAGAGAAUGUUCUAAGAAACACAAGACUCUGGGGACACCACAGACGUGGCGCUUUAGCUAAAAAGCUACCGAAGCAGAGACGCACAACCCUCUGUGCUGAAAAACCACACAAAACAACUCACAACCAAAACUUCCGCAAGUCCCAGAUGUCGUCCUACAGAUCCUGAUACAGGGACCAAUAUCUCGGCACAGAUUGCCACAGGAUACCCAAGAGAAAAGCCAGCCAAAUUAGAAGAUAGCCAGAGAACAGAUACAGCUCAUCGCCCGUCAGUGAGGAACGUCAGAGCGUUUAAAUUAGCCUGAGCGUGGCACUAACCUGAUAAGGCCCCACGUUAGAUAACUGUCCCGGGCAUAAAGGUAUAAAUGAACCGGCACCUGGACUAGCUGGUGCCUCCCUCUACCAGACCAUGCAAACUGGCCCUCCUGCCCUUGUGCUGACCAGCUUAACCAAGGAUACAGUGCCCUGGGCUAAGGAAGAGAGAGGCAGAUGCAAAAAGAAGAAGAAAACCAACCAGCAAACGAUGCACCUGGACCUGCAUCUGGAAACUCCGUGUACUAGAACUGUGAGAAUCUCAACACAACCCUCUGAGGCUAAGAGGGGCCUACCAUCCUGACAUCAUUUUAGCAGUGAGAAGCAAAGGGAGCUCCCCUCCCACACAGUCCUCCUUCCCACUGUCCCCUCAUAAGCUCCCUCAAAAGCUCUCUGCAUGGAAGAGGGGAGCUCGGGAUAGCACCGCCUUGCUUCGCCCCAGUAAGAGAGACCAAGCUGCCUGGUCACCCAUAAAGACAGCACUGUGGAUUCAGGCAUGGAGCUGGCUGGUACCAGCUAAGCUCGUGAAGGAGGGAAUCCUCUGAGAUGACCAGACAGAGACGCAUACAUCAUCCACCCUCCAGCAUCCUACACUCCAGCCCCCACCGUCUCCAGGCUAGCACUUCUGUCUUUGUUUCUAUCUCUGUGUAUGUGUGUGUCAUUUCUCACACGUGCCUGCCUUUCCAUUCCCAUGAGACUGGGAGCAACCGGGCUCCACUCCUCUUUCGUCACGGCCCACAGUACCAAGCAUGGAGACUUACACCCGGCAGAGGCUCAAUAAAUACCAUUUGUAUUCACGUGCACACACUUUCGAGGGGUCGGAGCCCUCACUCCAGGCUAACAAAGCGCUACUCACAAGCACUUAUUAAGGACGGCUCAGAGCACAUUGGGGUUCUGUAGGAGAAAUAUACAACACUAAGGUAUCCCU
ensembl:antisense Gm10538 predicted gene 10538